CCAAAGGCUCUUUUCAGAGCCACACGGUUUCACCAGCAGAGCUGU
rfam:Canis lupus familiaris chromosome 35, whole genome shotgun sequence.